ensembl:snoRNA
GAUCUCUGGUCUUUGCUUAAUCACAUCCUGUGUGUGGUUUGCGUGCUUUCAGAGAGAGAGGAAGGCCCUUCUAAUACACGACAGACUGGCUGUACAGACAGAUUAGAGAA